AUUGAACGCUGGUGGCAGGCUUAACACAUGCAAGUCGAGCGGGGGAAGGUAGCUUGCUACCGGACCUAGCGGCGGACGGGUGAGUAAUGCUUAGGAAUCUGCCUAUUAGUGGGGGACAACAUCUCGAAAGGGAUGCUAAUACCGCAUACGUCCUACGGGAGAAAGCAGGGGAUCUUCGGACCUUGCGCUAAUAGAUGAGCCUAAGUCGGAUUAGCUAGUUGGUGGGGUAAAGGCCUACCAAGGCGACGAUCUGUAGCGGGUCUGAGAGGAUGAUCCGCCACACUGGGACUGAGACACGGCCCAGACUCCUACGGGAGGCAGCAGUGGGGAAUAUUGGACAAUGGGGGGAACCCUGAUCCAGCCAUGCCGCGUGUGUGAAGAAGGCCUUAUGGUUGUAAAGCACUUUAAGCGAGGAGGAGGCUACUUUAGUUAAUACCUAGAGAUAGUGGACGUUACUCGCAGAAUAAGCACCGGCUAACUCUGUGCCAGCCGCCGCAGUAACAC
rnacentral:rRNA from 1 species